GUCAGGGCUAGUGGAGCAACCAAUGUCUCUUCCUCUUGCCUAUGGAUUCAGAUGUAGAACGCACAGCUGCAUGUCACCAUACUUCCUGUCUUGAUAAUGGACUAAACCUCUGAACUUACUGACCUGAGGAAGAACCGAACCUGGCUUUCUAAGGAUGCUUUUGGAUGUCUUCGAGCAGGGAUGUUGAAUAUGAUUGUUAUUUACAGUGAAUGCAGGUGCCAGUGGCAGCCAGGGGUGUUGGAUCUGCCUGGAGCUGGAGUUGCAAGCAGUUGUGAAUUGCUUGAUGUGGGUGCUGGGAAUCAAACUCUGGUCCUCUGCAAGAGAGUCUUGGAGCUUUCAUCCUGAAGAGCCUGAACAAACAGCCAAUGAUAGGUGUGGAGCUGCUUGGCCUGGACCAGCCAGCCUUGGAUAGAGCAGACUGAAUACUUACCUCGUAUUGUGAUGGCCUGUUUCUGACCAGAUUGUGACAUCCAAGGUGGAUACAUUGCCUAGCCCAUUGUGGAGUAUUCCUGGACGCCUAUCCAUGCCAGAAACACAUA